rnacentral:rRNA from 1 species
UACGAAGGGUGCUAGCGUUGCUCGGAAUGACUGGGCGUAAAGGGCGCGUAGGCGGUUUGUACAGUCAGGUGUGAAAUUCCCGGGCUCAACCUGGGGGCUGCACUUGAUACGUAUGGACUGGAGUGGGGAAGAGGGUCGUGGAAUUCCCAGUGUAGAGGUGAAAUUCGUAGAUAUUGGGAAGAACACCGGUGGCGAAGGCGGCGACCUGGUCCGUGACUGACGCUGAGGCGCGAAAGCGUGGGGAGCAAACAGG